AUGUUCAGAUCAUGGAUGGAAAGCUUUUAAGGUAGUUUGUCUCCCUUAAGUUCACACUUAAAACAGCUUCAUAGUUAAUGCCAACAUCAACUGAUUCUAUGAUAUUGCUGACUAUUUUUUUUUCUAUUUCUAACAUAAACAAGCAAAGAAGUCACACAGAAAUGUGUUUUUCACACCAGGCAUCCGGUCCCAAUCAUCAUCGGUUCUAAUGAUGCCACAUACAUAGUGAGUCCACAACAUCCUAAAAUUGUUUCCAUAAAGUGCAGUGGUCCAGUGAAUAGGAAUGUUCUGUCGUUGAUUCUCACUGUUCUUAGGAAGGAGAAAUGUCUGUUUGUCAUGAGUAAAACUGGAAUACUGUGACAUUGUAUUAAAACAAUAUUCUGUCCUUGGUGAAAUAUUUUUCACAUUUCCUCUAAGUGUAACCUAUUGUUUCAUUGUGCUAAUUUUCAUAAGCAUGUUGUCUGUAAACAAGCUGCACCAAAGGCAGCUUCACUUCAUAGAUUAUUUAUACACAGACACAAAAUUACACAUAUCUCUUAAAUUUCUUUAUUGUGCAUCUGUAUUUAUUUAUUUUAUUUUAUUAUUUAUCUACUUAUUUUUUUUUUAGUGUAGUGGAUUUUUUGAUCCGGGACCUGAGUACAAAUUUCGUACCACAAACUAUCAAGGUGGCAUGACAAUAAAAAAAUCCUUGAAGCUAUGUGCAGACUCAUUGCCAUAGCAACUGACAACAACGCCACUCUGUUUCAGGAUUCUACAUCAAUAAAAACUCAAAUAUUUUGCACAAAGAACAACAUUCAGUCUCUUGCAGUGGUAGAUUAGCUAUGGCUGCUAUUAGCUAAUCUAACAGCAGUUUGCAGGCUAUGUUUCUUUUCUGAAUUCUUUACACACAGAACUGUAGCCCACAAUACGUACAUUUCAUUAAAAAACUAAACAAAAAAUUUUUAUUCCCGUCUUACCUUUACUUAUAAAUGAAGUCCAUGCAUCGCACAAAAAUAUCCGUUCAUCCAAAAUCAAAUCUAUGCUUGACAUCCCAAGCGUUUUUUGUGCGACCUGGUUUUAAAUAUGAGUGGUAUGACUGCUAAAUAUGACUGCUCAUGCUUGGUGAGGCUUCUUUUGGAAAUUCUUUAAGUCACACAAUCCCAACUGACUCCAUACAGAGCCACACAUUGAGAAACGAAUGCAAGGAAAGCAGAAAAGCCGUUUCUAGCAGGACAUCCACAAAGCCAGUCUUUUCUUGUAUAUCACUCUGUUUGAGAAGAGUGGUACCCUUCUGUCUCGAAGCAAACCUUUCAGCUGCGGUGUCUAGAACCUGUUAGGCAGAACAGAUACUGUAAGAACCACAACGUAGAGAUAAUUUUCAUGGUUUGAAGAUACUCUCUUAAACUGUGCUGAAAUGUGACACUAAAAAUACAAGGAUUUAGCUACCAACAGCUAAAAUAGCACAGCUCACAUGGACAUUAUCUCCCGCUCGCAGAAAAAUAUAAGGACAGAGUAUCAAAUUACCAAACAUAUAAAAUGCAAUAUGGAAUUAUUUAAAAUUGCUAGAUGUUAUAAUCGGAGGGAAAAGGGAGCAGGUUUAACUUCUACUUACUUCUAAGGGAAGAGCACCAGGACUUUCCUCUUGGUUUGACGGCCUGUUUCUUCCAGCCAAUGAACCAGUCCACCAAAUAGUGGUCAUUUUUUAAAACCAUGUAAUCACUUCUUCAUGACUCAAAAAUGAACAAUAUGCCUAAAAACUAUUUUCGAGUAUUGAAAAGGAGUGCUGAGGUAUUCCAUUUUUCACCGAAAUAACAUCUUUGCCACUUCGGCAAAAGUACAGUGACAAACGUUCAGAGGAUAAAACAAAUACAUUCCGAACAAAAUUCAGAUGACCCAGCUUUCCACCAGCAUUUAAAUGCACCACUUUCACAUGAAUGUGAGGCUCCCUGGAAGCGUGAAAGGAGUGUCAAAAACCCUUGUGCAUUGGUAACCUGAUGUGUGUGUGAGUGAAUGCAGCUUUGUCUAUGUGAGAAGGUUUGAAUUUGUAAUUAUUAGACUUGUGAGACUGAAGUUAAAAAAUCUGUGUUGAAAUUUAAUGUAUGUGGGAAUUGUAAUUGUGUUUGUGUACUUUCAUUUUGUAGUCAUAAUUUCUUAAUAUUUGUGUGUGCAUUUGACCACAUAUUUACAAGUACCUGGAGUUAUGCACAACAUGUUUUGUUAUGGUUUACAAAUCAUGUUUCACAGACACAACUAUCCAAAGUUACACACAAAAAGACUUACAUAGAUUACAAAUCCAGUAUAUUACACCCACAGGUAUUGGGUAUAUGUAAGUGUUGCCUUAAAUAAAAUAUGUAACACGUACUUAGACAACUGUCAGAUUUAAUCUUAUUUUAACUUGCCUUACAAGUUAAAAUAAUAUUCUUAAUAUCUGAGAAUUAUCAAUGAAGGAUAAAAUUAACAUUUAUUUAUUGAAGAGUCAACCAUCAUUCAUACCCAUGCUUAACAUAUUUAUUAUGCAUUAUGUCAGGAGUAUAGAAAUCAACUUAAAAUAUGUCAUAUAAAGAGUAGUCUUCCAUUUAAGAGUUUACAUCAACCUUCAUAUUCUGAAUGGAAUAGUUAUGCUAAAAUUGUGUUUAGCAUUUUCAACAUAUAUCACCACCUCACAACCGUACUACUGUGUCCCUAUGAGGCUAAUGAGUCCAAGCAGGAUGGGACCGGCUGUUCACACCUAUAUCAGCAGAUGCCACAACAUCAACUUACAAAAAGGAACAACAAAUAAACAGAACAAAACACAUAAAACUUAAAAGAAAAAUUCUUGACAAUUCAGUUAUUCCUUACAAUGUUUGUACAUCUGAAAUACACAGCAGCUAGUGUUAGAGCAAUAAAGUAAGAUAAGUAAGGGAAAUGAAGGAAUUUCAUAUAGCAGACUGCUCUCAAACAUUACCUAAGUCCCCCACAGCCUCCCCAACAACGUUAAAGUAGGUUCAUCCUCUACUUUACAAAUCAACAUACUUAAUGAUUCAAGAUGACUACAUUUUUAAAUUGUUGAGCCCUCCAUAUUGAUAAGCUUUGAAGAUAUUUUUACAGUGAACAUAUUUUCUUGCACUGAUAAUGCCAAGUGAAUGGUUGUCAGUGAGGUCAGUAUUGAAGGGGUUUUGCAGUGCCAAAUAGAGUACUGAAACACUGCUUGAAUGAAAUCAGCUUACUUGGAAG